AUACGGAGGGGGCAAGCGUUGUUCGGAAUUACUGGGCGUAAAGGGCGCGUAGGCGGAUUGUUAAGUUAGAGGUGAAAGCCCUUGGCUCAACCUAGGAACUGCCUUUGAAACUGAUAAUCUAGAGUCCGAGAGAGGAUGGCGGAAUUCCCAGUGUAGAGGUGAAAUUCGUAGAUAUUGGGAAGAACACCAGUGGCGAAGGCGGCCAUCUGGCUCGGUACUGACGCUGCGGCGCGAAAGCGUGGGGAGCAAACAGGAUUAGAAACCCCUGUAGUCC
rnacentral:rRNA from 1 species